UUAAACCAACACUGCUACAUCUCUAAAUAACAUGAAGCUGAAAGUCUAAAUUCUAUCAGCUGAACUUUGUUCUUCAUCAGCAGUAAAAGUCAAACCUACAAUCACCUCAAACCCUGAAGGAGCUGCACUGACAGGAAACACAGUGACUCUGUACUGUAAACUCCAUCAGUCUGCUGGAUGGACGUUUUACUGGUCCAAACACACACAGAGCUCUGAGAAGGAGACCAUCACCAACGUCUACACCAUCAGCUCAGUUAGACUCUCUGAUGGAGGUCAGUACUGGUGCAGAGCUGGCAGAGGAAACCCAGUCUACUACACACACUUCAGUGAUGCACUCUGGGUAAACGUUACUGGAGCUCCAGUCUCAGCGCUCAGUCUGCUCAGCCGUUUAAUGGCAGUGUCUCCAUAUUUGCUGGUGUCCAUCGUGCUGGGGAUCAAAUGCUACAGAGCUCGAGCUGGACCUGAUGAGGAGAACAGAACAUAAGAACAGUGAGGGAAGCUGGAGCGUCUUCCUGAGUGAAUACCAGGAUUUUACAUUCUAUAUAUUUUAAUGUGCUUUAACAGCCAAUCAGAGAUUACUCAGUCUGACAGGUCAGAAAAGAGGCCUUAUAACAUCACGGCUGUGAUGAUCUACGACCAAAUCACGGCCGUGCUGUUCUUUUGCAACAGCGCACUGACUCUCGUGUUCUAUUGUUUAUUAAGCUACAAUCUCUUUGGCCUGAAAAGAUGAAGCUCCUGAACAAAAAUGAAGAGUCAGAAAAACCAAAUUCAUUCUAAUUAUUCAGGCCAGAACUAUGAUAAAUAUUGAUCUUAUACUCUUUAUACCUACAUUUC